rnacentral:rRNA from 1 species
UGGGGAAUAUUGGACAAUGGGCGCAAGCCUGAUCCAGCAAUGCCGCGUGAGUGAUGAAGGCCUUAGGGUUGUAAAGCUCUUUCGCACGCGACGAUGAUGACGGUAGCGUGAGAAGAAGCCCCGGCUAACUUCGUGCCAGCAGCCGCGGUAAUACGAAGGGGGCUAGCGUUGUUCGGAAUUACUGGGCGUAAAGGGCGCGUAGGCGGCCUGUUUAGUCAGAAGUGAAAGCCCCGGGCUCAACCUGGGAAUAGCUUUUGAUACUGGCAGGCUUGAGUUCCGGAGAGGAUGGUGGAAUUCCCAGUGUAGAGGUGAAAUUCGUAGAUAUUGGGAAGAACACCGGUGGCGAAGGCGGCCAUCUGGACGGACACUGACGCUGAGGCGCGAAAGCGUGGGGGCAAACAGAUUAGAUACCCCGGUAGUCCAGCCGUAAACGAUGAAUGCUAGACGUCGGGGUGCAUGCAGCUUCGGUGUCGCCGCUAACGCAUUAAGCAUUCCGCCUGGGGGAGUACGGCCGCAAGGUUAAAACUUAAAUGAAUUGACGGGGUCAUAGCUGUUUCCU